rnacentral:rRNA from 1 species
UACGUAGGGUGCGAGCGUUGUCCGGAAUUAUUGGGCGUAAAGAGCUCGUAGGCGGUUUGUCGCGUCGACUGUGAAAACCCGAGGCUUAACCUCGGGCCUGCAGUCGAUACGGGCAGACUAGAGUUCGGUAGGGGAGACUGGAAUUCCUGGUGUAGCGGUGAAAUGCGCAGAUAUCAGGAGGAACACCGGUGGCGAAGGCGGGUCUCUGGGCCGAUACUGACGCUGAGGAGCGAAAGCGUGGGGAGCGAACAGGG